rnacentral:rRNA from 1 species
GACGAACGCUGGCGGCGUGCCUAAUACAUGCAAGUAGAACGCUGAAGGAGGAGCUUGCUUCUCUGGAUGAGUUGCGAACGGGUGAGUAACGCGUAGGUAACCUGCCUGGUAGCGGGGGAUAACUAUUGGAAACGAUAGCUAAUACCGCAUAAGAGUAGAUGUCGCAUGACAUUUGCUUAAAAGGUGCAAUUGCAUCACUACCAGAUGGACCUGCGUUGUAUUAGCUAGUUGGUGAGGUAACGGCUCACCAAGGCAACGAUACAUAGCCGACCUGAGAGGGGGAUCGGCCACACUGGGACUGAGACACGCCCCAGACUCCUACGGGAGGCAGCAGUAGGGAAUCUUCGGCAAUAGACGGAAGUCUGACCGAGCAACGCCGCGUGAGUGAAGAAGGUUUUCGGAUCGUAAAGCUCUGUUGUAAGGGAAGAACGAGUGUGGGAGUGGAAAGUUCACACUGUGACGGUAUCUUACCAGAAAGGGACGGCUAACUACGUG